rnacentral:lncRNA from 1 species
GAACAGCAUCUUCAGUGUUCCAAAACAUUAUGGAAAAACAUAUGCUGAAGUCUGAUGUUGGCUUAUUUUAACCUGUGGUUCUUCAUCAGUGGGCUAUAUAACAUUCUUAAAAGAACCAACCCCCUUCUUCCAUCAAAUAACUUUGUUUAUCUCACAGGACUAUGAACAGUCCUUGUUUCCUUCUACAAAGUGAACAGCUUUCAGCUUGGAGACAGCACUGUGAUUUUGCUAUAUGCACCAUGUAAAAACUAGGGACUUCUGAUAUUUGUCUCAUCUUCCUGUAGUUUUAAAAGGACAAAACCAAGCUGAGGUCAGACUUGACUUUAAUCCUCAAGAUGAAAAUAAAGAGAACGACUUUGUCUUUCAAGAAAACAAUACAAAGAAUAUUUCCAUUUUUCUGCCUUUAUAGAGCACCUGGACUGCAUGAUGAAGAGAAAAACUGUGAAGACAACAAAACAGAUUUUUCAGGAAAAUAGCUCCCAUGUCCUAACAUCAAACUGUUAACAAGAGUAGCAACUGGACAAUCUCAAGAUUCAAUUUUGAAGCACAUCACAGUCCUGUUCUACAGUAAGGUGCGGAGGCAUCCUUUCAUUCUUCCCAAUCUUUUGCCUCAGAUGACAGAUCGACUUUCUGCAUCUGACUCAAGUUAAAACCAAUCAGGGGCAAAUGCAUGGGAAUCUAACAUUAGCAGUGAAAAAAGAAGAAAGAAGAGUUCACAUUUCUGGAGAGGCCUCACAUAAACAUGUGGACUUUAAAUCAGAAUUAACUUCUUAUACAGUGACAAAUGAAUAUAGGCAGUGGGAGAAAAAAAAUCAUGCCUUAACUCCUGACAAAAGUAUAUAUCACUUUUAAUAUGCUUUCAAUGUCAGUUCCUAAAACAUGAUAAAUAAAAUAAGCAUGUAAAUAGAUUCAAACUGACAUGUUGUUUAACAUUUGUUAAAUUCACUCAAUAAAUUCCUUGGCAACUAAGUGAAAGAACUACAGGGAAUAACCUCAAUAAAAAUCUAAAUAAUUGUAUAGCCAUUUUGCUGCAAAAACAUGUACUUCGUUUUUAGACACACGUUUAGUUCUGCAAUUCUCUAAUGAUUCAGCUUAUAACUCCUGGCCUCUGCAAUUCACCUAGCAAGAGAUCAAUUGCUAUGACAAUGAAUUUUGGAGGCCAAAUCAAGAUAUUUCCCAAGUUAAAUUGGCCAUCUCAGACCAUAUUGCAGAAGUGUUUCAGCAAUGGCAGCACCGGCACCAUACUUGAAUAUGUCUGAAAACUACUUAUUUGUAAAACACACUCCUUCUUACAUUGCAAACAAUAAAUGUACCUUUUAUUUCAAUAAUAAAUAUAUUGAUAAUAAUUUAUCUAGACACUGAGAUUGCUGAAAAGUGAAAUCCUUUGUUCACAAAGAGACAUAACAUGAAGCAGUUGUGCUGCCUUUCUCUAGUUAGAAAAAUGCAACCUUGUUAUUAUCUUCAGAAGAGCCUUAAUGCUUGCAUCUUUAACAUUAUAUGCUUCUAUUUUGAACUUCAGCAAGCAUUUUAGCCAGCUAAUACCUGUAAUUCACAGUAAUAUCUAAGCAAAACUUAUAUUCUUCCACUGAAGUUCCAUAAGUAGAAAUUGCAGGCAGCUGUUGAAACGAAAAAGUAUUUCCCAGUAGACUGAAACAAAUACUUGCCCUUGACCAGUAAUAAGCACUCAUGGACUUUGAGUAUUAUGAUUCUACAUUUUCCAACUUAGAAAGUUUUCCACCUUACUUUCAGCUUUAGUAAAUAUGAUUAUCAUCCACAACAGAAGGGCAAAAGAUAGGAUAUACUGCCUGCGAUAUUACAGUGAGUUUGUUGUCAUGUCAAAACCACCAGUCCAAACAAAUGCCUUUUUUACAGGCAGUAUUUUACAUACCUUCUGAAAAAGAGUUUACAUGUAGGCUGCUUUAAUCACAAGUCUGUUUCAACAUAGACUUAUGUUCAUGAACAAACUAUGUGUGUUGAUCUUUACAACUCUUCCUUCCAUCACUACUCCUUUCAGUUCUCAGUCCUGUCCAUAUCACACACAUUCCCCUUUGCUCUUUAUCAGAAUCUAGGUAUAUGGGGAACUGUUGAGUUAUGGCCUGAACUGAUGAUCACCUGAGGCAAGAACUGGGUCAGCUGUGGGAGCACAAGUGAAGGCAAUUCACCUGUGAGACCAGAAGAUGCCAUUUAAGGGCUGACUGCCACUAAGGAAGGAUCUAUUUCUAGAGAUCCCUCCUUCGUGGAGUUUUUUUUCCUGCAAGCCUAGAUCCUCAGAUACAGGUGAGUAUUCUUUCUUUGCUUGUCUUUUUUUCCAUUCCACCACAAUAAUCUUUCCAACCAUAACACUAGGAAAGUCACACACAUCGUCGUAACUUCUUAUUCUAUAUUUGAGAUAGAUUUCUGCCAACCUAGGGUAUUUGAUGUUCUAACUACAUAAAUAAAUGCGUGUAGUACUUUCCAUGAAGGGAAUUUUUUCUUUUAUAUACAGCUGAGAUAUGGUUAUUCUUACUUGAUUCAUUAGAAUUAAAAUCUAUAAAUCUUUCUACUACUAUUGUCUAGAAGUUAUUGAUCACUCAAAAAGAGAAUAUAUGGUCUCUAAAUUAAACACAACGACACUUACAAAAGAAACUUCACUUUCUAUUCCUCUGCGUAAAAUCCAGUAUUUAGCACUUUAAUGAUUAGUUGUACUUCUUCCUUUAUAGCUUGUCUAUCAGCCCAGCAUCAGAAAUGCCACAAAUGCCACAUCUAU